rnacentral:tRNA from 1 species
GCAGGAGUAGCUCAGUUGGGAGAGCGUUAGACUGAAGUUGUUUACGCAACAGUCAUCUACAGGCCCCCGGUUCAAUCCCGGGUUCCGGCA